rnacentral:rRNA from 1 species
CCGUCGCUACUACCGAUUGAAUGGCUCGGUGAGGCNUUCGGACUGGCCCAGGGAGGUCGGCAACGACCACCCAGGGCCGGAAAGUUGGUCAAACCCGGUCAUUUAGAGGAAGUAAAAGUCGUAACAAGGUCUCCGUAGGUGAACCUGCGGAGGGAUCAUUA